CCUACGGGUGGCAGCAGUGGGGAAUAUUUCGCAAUGGGCGAAAGCCUGACGCAGCGACGCCGCGUGAGGGAUGAAGGUCUUCGGAUCGUAAACCUCUGUCAGCAGGGAAGAACGGUCACUUUGCUAAUCAGCAGUGAAUUGACGGUACCUGCAAAGGAAGCACCGGCUAACUCCGUGCCAGCAGCCGCGGUAAUACGGCGGGUGCGAGCGUUUAUCGGAAUUACUGGGCGUAAAGCGGUCGUAGGCGGUAUGUCAAGUCAAGGGGGAAAUCCCCGUGCUCAACGUUGGAACUGCCUGUGAAACUGGCAAACUGGAGUGUGUGAGAGGAUAGUGGAAUUCCAGGUGUAGGAGUGAAAUCCGUAGAUAUCUGGAGGAACAUCAGUGGCGAAGGCGACUAACUGGCACAUAACUGACGCUGAGGAGCGAAAGCGUGGGUAGCAAACAGGAUUAGAUACCCGUGUAGUC
rnacentral:rRNA from 1 species